rnacentral:rRNA from 1 species
AGAGUUUGAUCCUGGCUCAGGAUGAACGCUGGCGGCGUGUCUAAUACAUGCAAGUCGAGCGAACGGACGAGAAGCUUGCUUCUCUGAUGUUAGCGGCGGACGGGUGAGUAACACGUGGAUAACCUACCUAUAAGACUGGGAUAACUUCGGGAAACCGGAGCUAAUACCGGAUAAUAUUUUGAACCGCAUGGUUCAAAAGUGAAAGACGGUCUUGCUGUCACUUAUAGAUGGAUCCGCGCUGCAUUAGCUAGUUGGUAAGGUAACGGCUUACCAAGGCAACGAUGCAUAGCCGACCUGAGAGGGUGAUCGGCCACACUGGAACUGAGACACGGUCCAGACUCCUACGGGAGGCAGCAGUAGGGAAUCUUCCGCAAUGGGCGAAAGCCUGACGGAGCAACGCCGCGUGAGUGAUGAAGGUCUUCGGAUCGUAAAACUCUGUUAUUAGGGAAGAACAUAUGUGUAAGUAACUGUGCACAUCUUGACGGUACCUAAUCAGAAAGCCACGGCUAACUACGUGCCAGCAGCCGCGGUAAUACGUAGGUGGCAAGCGUUAUCCGGAAUUAUUGGGCGUAAAGCGCGCGUAGGCGGUUUUUUAAGUCUGAUGUGAAAGCCCACGGCUCAACCGUGGAGGGUCAUUGGAAACUGGAAAACUUGAGUGCAGAAGAGGAAAGUGGAAUUCCAUGUGUAGCGGUGAAAUGCGCAGAGAUAUGGAGGAACACCAGUGGCGAAGGCGACUUUCUGGUCUGUAACUGACGCUGAUGUGCGAAAGCGUGGGGAUCAAACAGGAUUAGAUACCCUGGUAGUCCACGCCGUAAACGAUGAGUGCUAAGUGUUAGGGGGUUUCCGCCCCUUAGUGCUGCAGCUAACGCAUUAAGCACUCCGCCUGGGGAGUACGACCGCAAGGUUGAAACUCAAAGGAAUUGACGGGGACCCGCACAAGCGGUGGAGCAUGUGGUUUAAUUCGAAGCAACGCGAAGAACCUUACCAAAUCUUGACAUCCUUUGACAACUCUAGAGAUAGAGCCUUCCCCUUCGGGGGACAAAGUGACAGGUGGUGCAUGGUUGUCGUCAGCUCGUGUCGUGAGAUGUUGGGUUAAGUCCCGCAACGAGCGCAACCCUUAAGCUUAGUUGCCAUCAUUAAGUUGGGCACUCUAAGUUGACUGCCGGUGACAAACCGGAGGAAGGUGGGGAUGACGUCAAAUCAUCAUGCCCCUUAUGAUUUGGGCUACACACGUGCUACAAUGGACAAUACAAAGGGCAGCGAAACCGCGAGGUCAAGCAAAUCCCAUAAAGUUGUUCUCAGUUCGGAUUGUAGUCUGCAACUCGACUACAUGAAGCUGGAAUCGCUAGUAAUCGUAGAUCAGCAUGCUACGGUGAAUACGUUCCCGGGUCUUGUACACACCGCCCGUCACACCACGAGAGUUUGUAACACCCGAAGCCGGUGGAGUAACCUUUUAGGAGCUAGCCGUCGAAGGUGGGACAAAUGAUUGGGGUGAAGUCGUAACAAGGUAGCCGUAUCGGAAGGUGCGGCUGGAUCACCU